UACGUAGGGAGCGAGCGUUAUCCGGAUUUAUUGGGCGUAAAGCGUGCGUAGGCGGUUUAUUAAGUUUAAGAUCAAAUGCUGAGGCUCAACUUCAGUUCGUCUUAAAAACUGGUAGACUUGAGUGUGGUAGAGGUAAAUGGAAUUUCUAGUGUAGCGGUGAAAUGCGUAGAUAUUAGAAGGAACACCAGUGGCGAAAGCGAUUUACUGGGCCAUAACUGACGCUGAGGCACGAAAGCGUGGGGAGCAAAUA
rnacentral:rRNA from 1 species